rnacentral:lncRNA from 1 species
GUCACGGCCCCCACAGCCUAAAGAUUAUUAAUGUUUUCAUUUUGCUCAAGUGGGUUGUUACUGACUGUUCAGGUUCAGGAAGAGUAGCUUGUGUCCGGGGUUGUUUUAGUGCAUACCAUGUGUUGAGAAGCUAAGGAAUACUUCAUGGACACUCUUCCAUCCAGAUGACUACACUCAGGGAGCUCCACAGACACGACUCAGUCUGGCACUUCAGAUAAGCUGUGACACAGAAAGGCAUGAGGACAUUGUACCUCAGAGGAAACAACACCCACUGCUGGUUUCCCUCGUCAAACCUGACCUUCUUCUUCAGGACUAUCUUAAUUCCCUAUCUAUCACAAAAAUGGAAAAAAAAAAAAAAAAACUUCAGUCAUAGCCAGUGAAAUAUUUCAGCUGGUGAAUUGAAGGUAAUAAAACAGAGGCUGCCCAAACUGUCCUUUGUUGUAAAUCACAGCAAAGGUCUAGAUUACAUCAGCCAGAGGGUAUUGAUCACAAUGCUGAGAGGUUUAUAACUGCUAUUGACUUGCCAUGUGACCCUGGAGCAGAAAUCUAGGAAAACUGCAAAAGCAUACCUAUGGUAAUGAAAAGUCCAUCAUUAACAGGGCUUUCUGUCCUGUCAUCCAGCUAGAGCUGUGUUGGCUUCAAGGCAAAUACUGAACAAACACUUGAAAUGGAAGGAAUUUCUGCCCUCUCUCUUUCCUUUGCUGGAUGCUCUUAAAAUUAUCCUGCUAUGUGUGUUUUUCUUAUUAUUAAAAAAUGUGGAU